rnacentral:rRNA from 1 species
AAAAUUAAAAUUUAUUAUAAUUUAGUAUUGCAUACUAUAAAAAGAAAAUUUUACAAAGGUAAAAAAUUGAAAUAAAAAGAAGGUAAUUUUUAUUAUUAUUUUUUACAAAAAUAAUAAAAGAAAUUAAAGUGCUGAAACAUCGAUUUUUAUUAUACCAGUAUAAAAAAGUUUUAUUAGAAAAUUAUAAUUAAGUUUACUAAAAAUUAAUAAAAAAGGAAUUGAAAUUUCUUUAAAGUGUUAUAAUUUAUCAAAUUAAUAAAAUAAUUUAUAAAAAAAAAAAAUUUUAAAUUUUUUUAAAAUUAAAGAAUUUUUUAAUAAAUACAAAAUUUUAUUAAUAUUUUUUUUUUAAAAAAAAAAUAAAAAAAAAAAAAUAGAAUUUUAUAAGAAAACUUGAGAUUAAUUCAAAUGUUUAUUAAAGACUUAUGUUUUAAAUUAAAAUUUACCCCUGCUCUAUGAAUAUUUAAAUGGCAGUCUUAGCGUGAGGACAUUAAGGUAGCAAAAUAAUUAGUGCUUUUAUUGAGUUCCAGUAUGAAUGGGGUUAUUGGAUUAUUAUUUUCUUAUAUUUUAAUGGAAUUUAAUUUUAUAUUAAAAAUUAUAUAAUUUUUUUAUACAAAGAUAAGUCUUCGGAAAUUUUUUUAAAAUAUUUUUUCUAGGGUAGAAAUUUUUAUAAAAAAAUUUUUUACUAAAAUUAAAAUAAAAAAUUACUUCGGAGUUAACAGAAAAUCAUAUUUAAUUUAGUUCUUAUAAAUUAAUAAGUUUUACAUCGAUGUUGUAUUUUUCUAAUAAAAAAAGUAGAAAGUUUUUUAUUUAAGACUGUUCUUCUUUUAAAUAAGAAAACGUGAUAUUAGUUUAACUCAUCGUGAGAUAGAGUUGUUUAUCUUGAUAAAAAAUUUUUAAAAAAAUAAUUAGUACGAAAGGAAUUUUACAAAAGUUUAAAACUUUUUUGAAAAUCAGAAAUGAUUUUCU